GGUGGGGAAGAAAUUCUCAAGGGUAAUAUCCUUGGGCGUUGACGUUACCCACAGAAGAAGCACUGGCUAACUCUGUGCCAGCAGCCGCGGUAAUACAGAGAGUGCAAGCGUUAAUCGGAAUCACUGGGCGUAAAGCGCGCGUAGGUGGAUAUUUAAGUCGGAUGUGAAAGCCCUGGGCUUAACCUGGGAAUUGCACCCGAUACUGGGUAUCUUGAGUAUGGUAGAGGGAAGUGGAAUUUCCGGUGUAGCGGUGAAAUGCGUAGAUAUCGGAAAGAACACCAGUGGCGAAGGCGACUUCCUGGACCAAUACUGACACUGAGGCGCGAAAGCGUGGGGAGCAAACAGGAUUAGAGACCCUGGUAGUCCACGCC
rnacentral:rRNA from 1 species